CCUACGGGUGGCAGCAGUGAGGAAUAUUGGUCAAUGGUCGGAAGACUGAACCAGCCAAGCCGCGUGAGGGAGGAAUGUACAGUGUAUCGUAAACCUCUUUUAUGCGGGGAUAAAGGCGUCGACGUGUCGCCGUUUGCAGGUACCGGAUGAAUAAGCAUCGGCUAAUUCCGUGCCAGCAGCCGCGGUAAUACGGAGGGUGCGGGCGUUAUCCGGAUUUAUUGGGUUUAAAGGGUGCGCAGGCGGUCGGUCAAGUCAGCGGUAAAAUGUCGGGGCUCAACCCCGGCCGGCCGUUGAAACUGGUUUUCUAGAUUUGGAGAGACGUAUGCGGAAUUCGUGGUGUAGCGGUGAAAUGCAUAGAGAGCACGAAGAAGUCCGAGUGCGAAGGGAGCAUACCGGCUCCAUACUGACGCUGAGGCACGAAAGCGUGGGGAUCGAACAGGAUUAGAUACCCCUGUAGUC
rnacentral:rRNA from 1 species